UACGAGGGGGGGCAAGCGUUGUUCGGAAUUAUUGGGCGUAAAGGGUGCGUAGGCGGCGCGGUAUGUCUCUUGUGAAAUCUCCAGGCUCAACUUGGAGUCUGCAAGGGAAACUGCCGUGCUUGAGUACUGGAGAGGUGAGUGGAAUUCCCGGUGUAGCGGUGAAAUGCGUAGAUAUCGGGGAGGAACACCUGUGGCGAAAGCGGCUCACUGGACAGUAACU
rnacentral:rRNA from 1 species